rnacentral:rRNA from 1 species
UACGAAGGGGGCUAGCGUUGUUCGGAAUUACUGGGCGUAAAGCGCACGUAGGCGGAUUUGUAAGUCAGGGGUGAAAUCCCGGGGCUCAACCUCGGAACUGCCUUUGAUACUGCAAGUCUCGAGUCCGAUAGAGGUGAGUGGAAUUCCUAGUGUAGAGGUGAAAAUUCGUAGAUAUUAGGAAGAACACCAGUGGCGAAGGCGGCUCACUGGAUCGGUACUGACGCUGAGGUGCGAAAGCGUGGGGAGCAAACAGG